AAGCCCAUGUCUACGAAAAAAUGUGAAGUGGCAAAAUAGAGAUAUAUUAUUGGCCGUGUUUUUUCUGAGGACGUGGCAGCCUCACAAUAGAGUAUAUCGGCUUUUUAGUAUUGUGAUGUCAAAUACACAUAAAAUAAAUUAAUAAUUUGUUAAUGUUUAGGCCACUCCGUAUAAUCCGCCUAGUAGAUAAUUCGAAAGCCUUGUGACCGCAUUGCGAUUUCGUGAACAUUUUUUGAAAGUUGAAACUUAUUAAUUGGAUACAAUAUACUAUAAGUUUUAAUUACUAUCAAGGCCCAUCAAAGUUGAUAAGGAGGUCACUUGCUCAGA
rnacentral:lncRNA from 1 species